rnacentral:tRNA from 1 species
GCCGGUGUGGCGGAAUUGGUAGACGCGCGGGACUCAAAAUCCCGUUCCCUCACAGGAGUGUCGGUUCGAGCCCGACCACCGGUA